rnacentral:tRNA from 1 species
GGGCGCGUGGCCUAGUCCGGAUAUAGCGGCAGCCUCCUAAGCUGUAGAUCGGGGGUUCGAAUCCCUCCGCGCCCG